UGGUUUAUCUAUAUUAAAAGGGAAUGUGGUGAAAUUCCAUAACUGCCCCCGCAACUGUAAGUAGACUGGUUGUCAUCCAAGUCAUCGGCCACUGGGUUUAAUCCUGGGAAGGCAAGGCAACCAAAUUAUACGACGUCUACAAGUCAGGAGACCUGCCAUCUUA
rnacentral:ncRNA from 1 species